rnacentral:lncRNA from 1 species
AUAUAUAGUUCUAGCUUUGGCAUCAGACGAAAAUAUAAGGGUGUAGCAAUGGUACGGUGUGUGUCCAGGUUUGUUUGGAUGGAUGUUAUAUGUAAGUACAUGUCGCUAGUGUUGGUGAGUGGGGGCUCCGAUCCUACAUAUUGCUAGCUAGUGCUGGUACAUGUCAUUGUUACUACUGUAUGAAACUUGUGUGGUUGGUCCUGUGUGGCCUAGCUAGCGUCGGACAUACUGUAUUAUCGUGUUAUGUGUAUGAAUAAAUAUGUUUAUGUAUAUAUUAGCACAAAUGCCCGUGCGUUGCAACGGGAGAAAACAACAAUUACUACGAACCAUGGUUGGUCGGAUCGAGGAACUAUACCACGGGACAACAAUUGUUGGUGACAAUAAAAGAUGCAUCAUUUGAGGAUAACUGAGGGGUAAAGUUAAAAACAUGAUUAAGGCCAGUCCCGGCCCGUAAACCACCAUUCAGGGGUAACGUGAAAAAAUGGACCACUGUGCCAUGGAACUUUGGCUAAUACUAAUCUCAGUAAACCACCACUUAGGGGUAAAGUAAAAAUAGGAAAACCAUAGAAAAACAUGCAUACCAGAAGCAUCUUCGAUAAUGCAUAUGUUCCGAGCAUUUCCCUUCAAUUCCAUCCACAAAACGAGAAACACUUUCUCCAUUCUCAAAUGACUCAGUAAGGAUUGUUGGAUGCAAAGUAGUAUCACUUAAACGAUGAGACAUAUUUGAAUUUUGUUCAGGAUGAAUCCAAAAAGGUGGAGGUAAAAAACACAUAGAGGCAUAUAUGACCAACUAUCGAUAGCAGAACUUUUAAAAUGCACCAUGGCAUAGUAUGUGUUACUUUCGGACAUUAGAAUAAGGUUUGUCAGUGUAGCAUUACAUGUAGUCAAGUACAAGACUUUACAGUAAAACUCUGCAAGUUUUUAUUUUCUUUUAGCAGAAAUAAACACAAAUUCUGGUUUCAUAGGAUAGCAGUAGUCAACUCUGUAAUUUGAAGCGGUAUAAAGCUGGAACUAAUUCAUUGUGCAACAAUAUAUUCCCCUAAUUAAAUGGCAUGGCCAACACAUUUCUGUAGGAGAUAGAGCUAAUAAUGUGAAUGGAAUUAGAGCACCACAAGUCAAUUAAUGAUUACAGAACGGGAUUUCCACUUGAGUUUUUUUUUUGCAUGGGUUCCCACUUGAGGAUUGCAAAUGGGAUGAUUACCCUCAGGUUUAUGCAUAGCAUAUGGACGAAUCAGGGAGUAAAGCAGCCUGCCCAAGAUAGUCUCCCAAAUCUUGCCUUUUUUCAGUGACAUAAAAAUUCACCCAAAUCUGAAACAGUUAGCACAAUCCCUUUUGGCUGAUAUGGCCAGGAGCAGUAAUAAUUCCCGCCAGCAUUGCGCCCUACAGAUUGAACUUCGUCAAAGUAUUAUUAGGCUGAUCUGAACCCAAGUCGGCAAGCAUUUGAAGAAAUAAGCCAUGUGGCCCCUGGGAAUUUCCAUCGCAAUGGACUCUAUUUCCUUCUUUAUUUCUUUUCUUGUUACCUGAAACACAAGAUAUACAGAAGGUUAAUUAGUCUAGCUGUCCUUCCUCUUUUCCCUACCACAAUGAUCUCUCAGACACGGCUUCCUAAUACCCAAAAAACUAAAAAAAAGUAUAUAAAUUGGAUAGAUUGAAUGUGAGGGAGGGAGGUGGGACUAUUUAAGGAGAGAAUUAACCUAUGUUAGUACGGAUAGUAGAAGGUAGCUCAGUUGGCCUUUGGUUUUGAGUUCGACUCCUGUCAUCAGCAUUUAUUUUUGCCUCAAACAGGAUAGGUGGGCUGGACUUAACUUAUUGGGCCACAGAGCACGGGCGGCAUAUUAUGUGCCAAAGGUUUAUUGGGCCACCUCGCACACAGUAUCAAUUAGUACCACCUCCCUAUCAAAAAAAUCAUCUACGGCGCGUCAAAAAAAAUCCAUAUAUAUAUAUACACACACACACACACACACACGAGCAAAAGUGCCCGUGCGUUGCAACGGGAGAAAAAAAAACACGUCCUAACCCAAUAAAUUAAAUAUGUGAUGUUGUAAUAAUUUAUAUACCACAAAAGGUGUAAUCAAAAGGAUAAUUCUAAGUCGGACAUGAAACACAUUUUUUGAGUUUCCCGUGUGUGCCCUAACCUGUGUGUAUAUAUAUUAGUACAACAUCGCCUAAUCCUUAUCCAGCAAUGGACCGUGUUCGUGUCCUUUUCAGUUUUCACGUCCUAAAUGCAAGUGCUCCUCCCUCCCAGUUGGCGUGUGGGGCGAAAUAGGACGCGAGCAAGAUGCACCGUUGUCGCACUCUCUCUACUAUUCACCCCUCAUCUCUCUUGCCUAUCUCACCAAUGACAUCGAUGACAUUCAAACUUGAGGAAUAUCUUGAUGAUCAACAAGUAACAAUGAGCACCUAAUAUCUUCUACCUUAAGAAUUAUUUCUUUCCAAUAAUCACUCACUUUUAGUUAGUCUAUCUGAUAAUGUAUUCCUAAGUGCUCUAUAGAUCUCCCAAUAAAACCUUUAUGGAAGCUAUAAUUAGUUUUGUUCAUUAUUUAUGGAUGUGUUUUAAUUUUUGUGAACAUUUUCUAAAAGCUGAUGGACAUGUUUUUUAAAUUCCUGAAUAUGCUUUGAAUAUUGGGUCAUUUUAAAAAAUUGUGAACAUUUUUUAUUUCAUGAAAAUUCAUUUGAAAUCGUGAUUUAUUUAUAAUAUGUGAGCAAUUUUUAAGUUAUGAACAUUUUGUGAUUUUUCGAACAUUUUUUAAAUUCACAAACAGUUUACCAUUUUCCUACUUUUUUUCAAAACUCGCAACUGUUUGAUAUUUUGGAAAUCCGAAAUUAAUUUUGAUAUAAAAAACCAAAACAUAAAAAAAGUAAAAAGAAAAAAAUAGGGAGCGCCAUGAAUCCGAAAUUAAUUUUUAGAGAAAAAACCUAAACAGAAAUAAAAAAAGAAAUACAAAACAGGGGCGCCACGAUCCACACAUGGGCUGGCCCAUUACUGCGCUUAAGAUAGGUAAAAAGAAAGAGAAAAAGCGUCCAAAACCAAGGAUCGAACACUGGUCUCUUGUGAGGAGCAUCCUAGCCUCAGCCAUCGCCCCCACUCAUCCAUCACUGUUCAUAUACCGUAUCAAUUUUUAAUAACAGAACCCGGGAGCGAUAUUUGAAAUUAAAAACGAAUCGUUUUUGUCUCUUACGGGUGGCAUUGGUAGGUAAUUAUUGCCAACUUCGAGGGUAGUUUUUAUGACGUACGGGCAGAAUUCCAAUUCUCUUUAUUAUUAGGUAUAUAUAUAUGUGUGUGUGUGUAGUAACAUUAUUCAUCACCCAGGAUGCAGAAUAGUUAUUCCUCACCCGAGGUAAUCUUACGAUCAUUUAAUAAAUAAAUUAUGUUUCAAAUACAAAUAGUUAUAGUCGUAUUGAUUCACUGUAUAAAAUUUGGCAUAAAAAAGGUUAGAAGACCAGAAAAAUUACAUUUUAUGUAUAUUUUACACUAUGUUUUUACAUUUGUAAUUUACGUAACAUAAUAUUUUGUUUACGGUGAUUAUAUAUUUUCUUACGUUGCCUUUUUACUUCUGAAUUAAGACAAAAUUUACGGAACAUAAAAUUACGAUGCAUUGAUGUUAAAAUAGAGGGGGGUGAAGAAUAACUAUUCAUCACCCAGGGCCGCGCUCGUCACUCUGGGUGAGGAAUAGUUAUUCUUCACCCCCUCUCUAUUUUGACGUCCAUGUACCGUAUUUUUAGGUUUCAUAAAUUUUGUCUUAUUUCAUACGUAAAAAGAGAACGUAAGAAAAUAUAUACUCGCUGUAAAAAUAUUUUAUGUUUACAUAAGAUUAUGAACGUAAAAACAUAGUGUAAAACAUACAGAAAAUGUGAUAUUUUACGUAGUGAAUCAAUAUGAAUGUAAUUAUUUGUAUUUCAAACGUAAUUUAUUUAUGAAGCAAACGUAAGAUUACCUCGGAUGAAUAAUAACUUAUUCUUCAUCCUAGGUGAUGAGAAUAUAUAUUCUACAAUGGAUUCACUCCUAUAAGGCAACUUCCAAGAAAAAUAAAACUGAACAUGAAAAAAAUUACCCACCCCACGUCCCACUCCCAUCCCAGCUCUCUCUCUCCUUCCCGAUCACUACUUCCCCGCAACCGACCUCCACGGCCUUCUCCCAUGGUUUAAAAUUUCGAUAUAAAUUUCCGAAAUUUUGACAAUCUCGAAGGUGACCAAAAUUUUGCACUUCGUUAAAAAAAACUCAGCACAUUUGAAUUUCUACAAAAAAUGUUGGGCAGAAGUAUGCAAUACCAAGAUUCGAACUUGGGUUACCUGCUAGCGUGUAAACUAGUUAACCAUCACACAAUAAGUACUUUUAUGUUCAAUCAGCGCUACAUUACUUUAUUAUCUAGCUCUUUAAAUUUUCAAAUAUUCAAAUUCACACAAAAAAUCGGUGAUUUGUUCAAAAUGAUUUUCGAAAUUGUCAAAAUUUCCUAAAUCUCGACAUUUCGAGGGUAAGCGAAAUUUAUGCAAUCACGAAAUUCGGAACCUUGCCUCCUCCCAGGGCCGCCGCCCUCCACGGGCCUCCUCCCGCGCCAGGGGCUGGCCCCCACGGCCUGCUCCUCCCCGCGUCGCCCCCCUCAACGGCCCCUCCACGGCUUCCUCCCCGCGCCAGUUGCCGGCCGCCACGGCUUCUCCUCCCCAUGCCGCCCCUCCAUGGCCUCCUCCUCUCCAUGUUGCUCCCCACCACGGCCUCCUGCUCUCCAUGCCGCUCCCCUCCAUGGCCUCCUCCCCGCGCUAGUUGCCGGCCGCCACGACCUCUCCUCCCUGCACCGUCCCCUCCAUGGCAUCCUCGCCGGACUCCUCCCCGNNNNNNNNNNNNNNNNNNNNNNNNNNNNNNNNNNNNNNNNNNNNNNNNNNNNNNNNNNNNNNNNNNNNNNNNNNNNNNNNNNNNNNNNNNNNNNNNNNNNNNNNNNNNNNNNNNNNNNNNNNNNNNNNNNNNNNNNNNNNNNNNNNNNNNNNNNNNNNNNNNNNNNNNNNNNNNNNNNNNNNNNNNNNNNNNNNNNNNNNNNNNNNNNNNNNNNNNNNNNNNNNNNNNNNNNNNNNNNNNNNNNNNNNNNNNNNNNNNNNNNNNNNNNNNNNNNNNNNNNNNNNNNNNNNNNNNNNNNNNNNNNNNNNNNNNNNNNNNNNNNNNNNNNNNNNNNNNNNNNNNNNNNNNNNNNNNNNNNNNNNNNNNNNNNNNNNNNNNNNNNNNNNNNCCCUCCACGGCCUCCUUCCCGCGCCAGUUGCCAGCCGCCACGGAGUACUCCUCCCUGCGCCGCCCCCUCCAUGGACUCCUCCCCGACCUCCUCCCUGGGUUAGCGGCCGGCCGCCACGGCCUCUCGUCCACGCGACGCCCCCCUCCAUGGCCUCCUCCACGACCGAAGACUCAAAUAACCCUCAAAUUUUAAGUGGCAGUGCCUAAAAAUGCAAAGCAUUUGAUGGGAUAGGCUCCAUAUUUCUCCUAAGCCAUUUGGUAUUUUUUUCAUAACACAUUUUGUCUUUUGUGGAUUAAAAGAAAACAUAAAUCACUAAAUAGAAAAGGGGCCAGAGGCCUUACCUCGCUACUGGGCCGCGCUGGCCCAGCCCACGCUCACCUCCCUCGUCCUUCUUUUCCCCCGUGUCGCCUCGCACGCGGCUUAGUCUGCCCGCACCGGCCACCGCUCGCCACGCCGACGGGAGCAUGUGGGCAAGGGGAUAAGGCUCGCCUCGGGCCGUCUCCCCUGGCCGCCCUCCUCCAUUUCCCCUCUCUCCCUAGCUCGCUCGCCUCUUCUUUCCUCUCUGCCACCACAACCGAGCGCCACCGCUGCCUCUGCCCCAUCGACCCCGCGCUCUCCGGCGUUCCCGUGAGCCACCACCAUGUCUGGAAGGCGCGCCGUGCCGGACCACGUCGCAUACGUCUACUAACCGAGGCCGCGGAGCACAACUCCGACCGUGAUGAGCUUCCUCCUUCUUUGAAGGAAAUAUGCCCUAGAGGCAAUAAUAAAGUUAUUAUUUGUUUCCUUAUUUCAUGAUAAAUGUUUAUUAUUCAUGCUAAAAUUGUAUUAACUGGAAACUUAGUACAUGUGUGAAUACAUAGACAAAACAUGGUGUCCCUAGUAUGCCUCUACUUGACUAGAUCGUUAAUCAAAUAUGGUUAUGUUUCCUAACCAUAGACAUGUGUUGUCAUUUGAUGAACGGGAUCACAUCAUUAGGAGAACUAGUCGCCUACCCGUGCGUUGCACGGCCGGGCUAGUUCUUUUAAUAAUACAUAUAGAAAAGACUCAAACACCUUAUAUCUUUUGGUUCUAGUUUCCAACAUACAUCAAACACCUUAUAAUUUCCAAAUCUUUUAUUGAUAUAUUUGUAUUGGUUUUAAAUACAAAGUUAGCAAGCAAGGAGUACCUUGUUGCCUCAAUUAUGGCUUUGUAAGCACUUCUACUCUAUAUGGGUUUGCAUGUAGUUAUUCGCGAAAUCCAAUCAUCGGCAAGAAAACUUCUACCAGGAUAUCUAUUGGGUGAAUGUCAUGUACACCAUAAGAAUUUUUAAUAACAUAUUGUACUAUUAGUUAUAGCUGCAUCACAUACAUAAAUUCCCGUUGGUUAGGAAAUCUACAAUGGUUAAAUAUAAAAACGAACACUUCAUUGAUAAAAUACAAUAAUGUUGGCAUAUCGUAUUUCAUAAAAAUCGUAUUCUUUAAAUAUAUAGAAUGUCCAAAAUUAUUCAGAUUUUCUUUUAGGACACACAUCAAUUUAUUUUUAUAAAUGCAAGUAACUUAUGGGAUACGAAGUUAUUUUUACCGAAAUUUAUUCGAUCAUAUAACAUCGGUCAGAUUGACGGUAAAAGCCCAGAUAGAUUACAUGUAGUUGCCUCCAGCAAUUAUAUUAUUGGAGUUUUAACUGUCCUCCGUAAUAGUGUCAACUAAAUCAUUUUAAUUGCAAUGACCUCUAAAAGGGAGUAUUUCUUUUCAAAUAUAAUUCUUUCACACUGCUACCGCUGAUGAAUGUUUAUCUCAAGCCAAUUCAAAUGAAUAUCUUAGCUAAUAUACUCCUCGGGGAAUUAAAGGGAAUACAAAUUCAAAUCAAAUUUUACUUAUGUAGCAGCAAUUCAGCCAUAUAUCACUCGUUAUCUUCAAAGAGAAGUACUUGAACUGGCCGUGGUCAAAUAACAAUUCGAAAGUUGUACUAAUAUAUGCAUAUAUGUAUCCUUUCUUGUGUCUUCCACUGGAGAAUAACAUGCUAUAAUAAUUGGCUACAAAAGAUUGAUGUAAGUACGAUGCACAAAAUGAUAACGCAAAAGAGUCCUACUUUUAGUCAAUUCAUGCCUACCAAUCCUUUAUUUAAGCUAGUAACCUCAUCAAAUAUCGUGGAGAGAAAGAGAAAGAUCUGAGUGAUAACGCUGCCAUCUUUCAGAAAAUAAGUCAAACAUGCCAAUAAUAUUGGAAAAAUGUAAAUGCAAUGAGGUCUGCAUGAAAUAAGUUGAUCCCAACUUCAUUUGUAGACAACUACAGAAGCUCAUUGUACAUAUAUAUAAUAAGGAGGCGAAACUUACGUGAGGCGAGUGUCAACCAUAUCAAUGGACACGUACAUGUCAUCACCGAAGUAAAUUGUGAUGUUCUUUCUACCACUUCUUUUGCAACAUGUUGUCAGUGCGAGCUGCAUGGUUUUCUGUGCGGACACAUGUAUGACAUAGCAAAUUUGUUUUGGAUAAAAAUGCCAAAUAUAGUGGGAAAAUUGAGUUUUGGUGCCCUCGUACAUUUUGCAUGUUUUAGAUGAGCAUGAGUUUUUGUGCCCUCUUACAUUUUGCAUGUUUUUGUGCGCUCAUAAGGAAAAAACUAUAUACUCAUGAGCUAAUGAGAUUAUUAAUAAGUGAUAGAUGCUAAUACUAUGAAAUAGUACCACAAAGUAAAUUUAUAUUUUAUUAGUAUUUGCCCGAUAUAAUCAAUCAUGCAAACCAAAAAUUAGUGGACACGCAAAGAAUACGAAAAAGAACAAAAACAAAAUAAUGCAUAUCUACCUAUAAAACAUAUAUUAACAUAAUGGCGUAAAAAAAUCAUGAUCAAACGCGGCACCUUACUGUUAAAUAACUUUUACAUGGAUUCAUGACUUCUAUAUAUGAGAGAUAUUUGAUGGAUUAAUUAAUAGCGUAAUAUUAAGAUGACACAAAGGAGCUGGUCCAACACGUACCUACUCUACUCUAUCAGAUGUUAGGAUAUUUCCCAAGUCGACCACAUAUUUUCCUCAUAUAUAUUUGUAAGCAAGCACCGUAAAUUAAACAACACGUACCUUCAGGCAUACACGCAGUCCGAGAGCCCAACACGGUAUCGUUUGCGUGAUCAAAGGGCAAAGUUCUCAUUUCUUUUAUAAAGUUAUUCUGUCUCAACCGCAGACAUGGUAUGCCUAAUUAAGAAAAAACCAUGAGGAUUGCAAGGAUUUGAAGAAGAUUUGCAUUCAUUAUAUACCUGAUGCAGAUGGUUUUGCAUGCUGGCUUGUGGCAUACAUGAUGGUCAGAAGCAGAAAAAGACAGGCAUUCCGAUAUGUAAAUAUUAGAUUAGAUUUUUUUUGCAGGCGUGUUAUUUGUACCUGCGCUGAGAGGCAUUCAUGGCAUGUUCGUACCUGCACUGCACUGAAGCAUUGUUGCAUGCGGGGCAUUUGAUGGGAACACUCAGCGCCGGUGAUCUAUGGUGCAUAAUCCCUUUAGUCUGGUGGUUGAUCAAUUUUGUUUCCACAUAAGCAAAGAUAGAUCGGUCUAUAUUAUACAUGAAUAGCUGCAGCCCCUUGCAUGCGUACCCUGCAUGCGUACCUGCUUUAAGCAUGAGAUGGAGGAUAGCCAGAACGAUUCAAGUAAAUAUGCAUGGGCCAAAUAAACAGAAAGAAAUCAGAACGCCUCAAGAGUGAGUAGCCAAUCCAUUGUCUCCUGAUCAAACUCACCUGAGCCUAUGAAUUUCAAUGAAAUUACAUAUGAAACCUUCAGCUAUCAUUUGUCGUAGUCUCAUCUGCUCCAGAUCUUUCAUACUGGGGCGGCUGGUGCAAGUUGGAGGCCAAGAGAUCGAGGACCUCGCGACCAUCAUGUAUGUGGAUUUUAUUUCUGCAGCACACAUCAAGCAUUAGAAUCAAGUUACCAAUCAACCAACACGUAUGUUCAGAGUCACCUUCGUUAGGCUAGAUAAGGAAUACGAUGGAUGUGGCCUGAAGCUGAAAAUAUCAAGAAAACAACUUGUAACUGCUGAAUUCAGCAGCUCUCACCUGCUCGCCUUUGCAGCCCAUGUCCUAGAGAAUCCACAUAGAUUUAGGUAAUACUUUCAAACUCUAGUGCUCAGUACCAUUACGGAUCAGAUGGCCAUAUCUGAAUGAAUUGACGUCACUGGACUUCAAACAACAGAAUCUUUACCCAUAUUUUAUAACCACAUCAAGCAUUAGCAUCAAGAGUUACUAAUUAACCAACACUUACGUUUAGAGUAACCUUCUUUAGGUUAGACGUCUCCCAGGCGUCCUCCUUGCCGUUCCUACAACCUAGUUAGCAGCACCAGCUCUUCUACUUCAAGAAGCUGCGUCUCCUAGCCAUCCUCCUUGCCGUUGCUACCCCCUAGUUAGCAGCACCAGCUCUUCUACUCAAAGAAGCUGCCGGUGGCUCAUGUGGGCAUAGCUGAUGCGGCUGGGCCGCUGGGGAAGCACGAUUUGCCCUAGAUCGAAGGAAGGUAGAAUAGAAGGAAUAAAGAAUCAACCACUUAAGGAGACUUGAGCAAGGAAACCAUCUCUCUGGUCCCUCUAUGUUUGAUUAGUAGAUUGGUAAUGGAGAGGCGAGCCAAGGGCAGGCAUGGCGGUGGCGUGAGCACGGGAAACUGGCAACGUAGCUUUGGCUUCUCUUUAGAUAAGAGAUCGAUGGAUUUGUUUAGAUAGAAGUAGAGAGAUGGGCCUUUUUAUUUUAAUAAGAUGCCCGGUGGUCUAUCUGUAUUUUUUUUUUGAGUUCAAAGUCUAUCUAUAUAUUGAGAUAAAAUAGAUGUGUGCAUCAUUUUUUUAGCCUAGAUGCAUGCGUGCACCCUUAAAAUAUAUAAAAUAGGUUUCUAGUUCAAAUAAUAUACAGAUUUCUGGUUCAAUUUUUUUUGAACAUAUAGAUUUCUGGUUCAAAGAAUUGUGGGCCAUUUAGCCAUUUUUUCUUCUUCUGAAAUAAGGACUAUGUAGGUAGAUGUACACCGUAAUAAUUCGGACCCACCAAAUUAACGGCUACUAAUUACUGAUCAACGUGGGAAUUUGUAGGAAGUGCCUAAUUAGUAUAGGUAUAGAUAGAUAGAUAGAUAGAUAGAUAGAUAGAUAGAUAGAUAGAUAGAUAGAUGAUGUGAUGGACAUGACCCAUCUGUUAGCUUAGCAUUAUGAUAGUGACGGUUUCAUUGCUACUGCUCUCUUCAUGACUUAUACAUGUUCCUCAGACUAUGAGAUUAUGAAACUCCCGAAUACCGGAGGAACACUUUGUGUGCUACUAAACGUCACAACGUAAAUGGACCCGAAGAACAUUGUAUUGAGAUCAAAAAAGAGAGAAGAAGCCAACUAGCUAAUAACUAUGGACCCGAAGGUCUGUGGUAAACUACUCACAACUCAUCGGAGGGGCUAUGGUGUUGAUGUAGAAACCCUCCAUGGUGGAAUCCCCCUCCGGCAAAACGCCGGCGACGGCUCCAAGAUGGGAUCUCACGGAUACAGAAGGUUACAGUGGUGGAAAUUGUGUUUCGGUUGCUCCCUGGAUGUUUUCGGGAUAUGUAGGCUUAUAUAGGAGGAAGAAGUACGUCAGUGGCCGCCCGAGGGGCCCACGAGACAGGGGGGGCGCCCUAUAGGGGGGGGCGCCCUACCCUCUCGUGGCCGCCUCGGCUGUUUCUUGACUUGCACUCCAAGUCCUCUGGAUCACGAUCGUUCCAAAAAUCACGCUUCCAAAGGUUUUAUUCCGUUUGGACUCCGUUUGAUAUUCCUUUUCUUCGAAAUACUGAAAUAGGCAAAAAAACAGCAAUACGGGCUGGGCCUCUCGUUAGUAGGUUAGUCCCAAAAAUGAUAAUAAUGUAUAAAAUAAAGCCCAUAAACAUCCAAAACAGGUAAUAUAAUAGCAUGGAACAAUCAAAAAUUAUAGAUACGUUGGAGACGUAUCAACGGCGGCGCAGGUCGAUGGCGGCGACGCGGGAGGACUGGGGGUUGCGAUGGUCUGCGAGCGAAUGGACAGAAACGAGUGGAGGGGGUGCACCACGAGGGGAUAAGGCAUACUAUGGUCAUUAACAUUAAUCUUUUUUAUGCAUCAACAUUAAUCUUUUCUAAAAAAAAUUGUUUCCACUAUGUUAACUAUAGACUAGCCAUCCUAUACCCUCCAACGAACAUCGAGUGACCUAACCACAGCAAGAUUGACUCACAGAUCUAGAGGUGCCAGCGGCGGCACCAUCGGUGGAGGGGGUCCCAGCGGCCGCACCAUCCGUGAGGGGGCCACACCCCGGAGACGCAUGCCGCCUCUUCAGACGUGACACCCCACCUUACAUCAUGUAUGAUGGCCCGGUGCGAUGCUCCGGUGGCAUUGCUACCCCCAGGGCCCCCGUCCGGCAUAACCCUGUAGCUUUCGACCACGACAUCUAGCCCUUUGGCUUUCCAUAGACGGGCUUUGACCAGUGGACCUCUCCACCCGGUUUCGUUAGGUCAGCCCAUACAAACACUUGUGAGCAACAUGCGGGCCAAACCCACAGCAAGAUCCCCUCCGUGUAGACCCGACAUGACCCAUUCCCCCCCUCCAAGUGUCGGCGGCGACGCCGUCCNNNNNNNNNNNNNNNNNNNNNNNNNNNNNNNNNNNNNNNNNNNNNNNNNNNNNNNNNNNNNNNNNNNNNNNNNNNNNNNNNNNNNNNNNNNNNNNNNNNNNNNNNNNNNNNNNNNNNNNNNNNNNNNNNNNNNNNNNNNNNNNNNNNNNNNNNNNNNNNNNNNNNNNNNNNNNNNNNNNNNNNNNNNNNNNNNNNNNNNNNNNNNNNNNNNNNNNNNNNNNNNNNNNNNNNNNNNNNNNNNNNNNNNNNNNNNNNNNNNNNNNNNNNNNNNNNNNNNNNNNNNNNNNNNNNNNNNNNNNNNNNNNNNNNNNNNNNNNNNNNNNNNNNNNNNNNNNNNNNNNNNNNNNNNNNNNNNNNNNNNNNNNNNNNNNNNNNNNNNNNNNNNNNNNNNNNNNNNNNNNNNNNNNNNNNNNNNNNNNNNNGUGAGGGGGGCCACACCCCAGAGACGCGUGCCGCCUCUUCGGACAUGCCACCACACCGUACGUCAUGUAUGAGGGCCCGAUGCGAUGCUCUUGUGGCAUUGCUACGCCCCCCAGGGGCCCCGUCCCGCCUAACCAUGUAGCGUUUGACCACAAGAUCUAGCCCUUUGAGUUUCCAUGGACGGGCUUUGACCAGUAGACCUCUCCACCCGGUUGUGUUAGGUCAGCUCAUACGAACACUUGGGAGCAACGUCCGGGCCAAACCCAUAGCAAGAUCCCUCCGCGUAGACCUGAUGCGGCUAUUUCCCCCCUCUAGGUGCCUGCGGCGGCACCGUCUAUGAGGGGGCCCACACCCCGGAGACGUGUGCUACCUCUUCCACUACAAAAAAAUACACUUCCGUGAUGAUACGUGUUUGUCACAGUAGGUCACGUUUUCUAUCAUGCAUGUACAUCGAUGACGGUUUUAUGACAGAAUCAAGAUAGUCAUACCUAUGCUAUCGUAGCAGUGUUCCAUAUGGAAUCAAAGAAGAACAUAUGGUCGGAACCACAAUUGCAAAGGAUCAAUUCACCGAUACCAAUGGAUAUUAUAUCAAGAAAAUAGUUAUUAUUACAAGAAGUUUCAUGAUAGGAUCGACAUCGUGUCCAUGGGCAUGAACACAAAGUUCAAGGUCGACUCCCACUUCUUCAAUGCAUAAUCUUUCAUUCACUUCUCACAUUCGAUGAAGUUGUAGUGUUGAAAUUUUAUCUGGCAAAAUACCAGAAGAGUAUGACUCGUGAAAACUUUCGAGUUCACACAUAUUAAGGAAGGCAUAGGUUCAACCCAUCAGGGCAUCGUGGAAACAUAUACCACAAGCUUCAAUAGUAAAUAUCACCAGCUCGAAAGCAGAGCAUGGUUGGCCAAAUCAAGGAACAGGAUUUACCAAUGUCAUUAUGUAUCAGGGAAAGAACUUCCAAAGUGAAUAAAUAUGAAGGACGUUGUCAGAUAAAAUACAACAAAGGAUCCGAUGGUCCUUAAGGGAUCUGAUGUAAGCAUCGGUACUCAACCAGAGGAAGAAACAAUGCAAAGGCAUUGGAUUGUAGAAACAACCAACUAAUUCAAACUCAAAUGCAAAGGAAUUGUGAUUUCCAAAUCAAGGAAUCAGAAGCAAAAUGCUCUGAUUAAGGGUGGAUAAGUUGAGUAGGCUUAGGGAUACAAUCGAUGAUAAUUUGGUUGGUCGAGAUCCAUCUCAUGUUUAAAAUGACGUCUAAGCCGGAAGGAUGAAUUCUGGGUUGGAUUGAUGAUUGCGAGCAUUCGCAAACAUAUCGGAUCAGAGAUUCAAAAUGACGGUGAAAAAGGAUGCUGGUGAAUAUUGCUAGACAUAUGGAAAGUAUCCAUAAUGCAAGCAGAGAAGUAUUUGCAGAACAAUAGUUGGCAAUGGAUUAUCGGAAGACCGGAUAGUAUUUCAAAGUAUCUUGUGGACCACAUGAUCAACUAGGAAUGAACAAAUCCUCGAUGAGUGUGAGGAAAUAUUCGUACAUGUAUUAAAGCGGAAAUGGAGUUGCAAGGCAGCAUGCAUAAUGGAUUCUCAGGAUAUUGUAAUGUUUCAAGGAAUCUUGUAAUAGAAAGAGCAAUUGGGGAUGGAGGUAUGAACAAAGAUUGCAGGUAGUUAUCCAUAACGAUUUAUCGGUGGUAGGGAUUGCAACUACAAAGGGCACAAGGGUCUCGGGAAAACAUGAGAGAGUAUCUUCGGAAUCUUCUGGCGCAGUAGGCGAUCAUAUGUAAUAAGGGGCUCUCCGGAUGGAAGUGAUCACGAGAUCCUAAUGUUAGAGUUAGCAAAAUUCUUUUAUCCCGAAUAGAAGAAAGAUCAGAGUCCCAGAGUAAAGGUCAAGGAGUAAAAGAUCCUAAUACUACUCAAUGGCGACGUGGGCCCAUAAGACUCACAACCAUGUUAGUAAAAGUUUUGUAGUGACUAGACUCGACUUUGGCCAAGGAGUGUGGAAGCAGGAUUCCUACAGGCAGUCGGCUCUGGUACCAACUUGUGACGCCCCCGAUUCAAUUGUACACUAAUCAUGCACGCAAAUGUGUACGAUCAAGAUCAGGGACUCACUAGAAGAUAUCACAACACAACUCUAAAAAUAAAAAAUUCAUACAAGCAUCAUAUUACAAGCCAGGGGCCUCAAGGGCUCGAAUACAAGUGCUCGAACAUAAACAAGUCAGCGGAAGCAACAAUAUCUGAGUACAGACAUAAGUUAAACAAAUUGCCAUAAGAUGGCUAGCACAAACUGGGAUACAGAUCGAAAGAGGCGCAUGCCUCCUGCCUGGGAUCCUCCUAAACUAUUCCCAGUCGUCGUCAGCGGCCUGCACGUAGUAGUAGGCACCUCCAGUGUAGUAGGGGUCGUCGUCGACGGUGGCGUCUGGCUUCUGGGCUCCAACGUCUGGUUGCGGCAUCCCGGAAGAAGAGGAAAAAUGGGGGGGGGAAGGGAGAAAAGCAACCGUGAGUACUCAUCCAAGGUACUCGCAAGCAAGGAUCUACUCUACAUAUGCAUGGGUAUAUGUGUAAAGCGGCAAUAUCGGUGGACUGAACUGCAGAAUGCCAGAAUAAGAGGGGAAUAGCUAGUCCUAUCGAAGACUAUGCUUCUUGCAGCCUCCAUCUUACAGCAUGUACAAGAGAGUAGAUUGAAGUCCUCCAAGUAGCAUCGCAUAGCAUAAUCCUACCCCACGAUCCUCCCCUUGUCGCCCUGUGGGAAAGCGAUCACCAGGUUGUCUCUGGAACUUGUCUGGGUGUGUUUUAUUAUGUAUCUGAUUCUAGUUAUCAUAAGGUCAAGGUACAACUCUGGGUCGUCCUUUUACCGAGGGACACGGCUAUUCGAAUAGAUAAACUUCCCUGCAGGGGCGCACCACAUUUCCCAACAUGCUCAAUUCCUCUGGCCGGACACACUUUCCUGGAUCAUGCCCGGCCUCGGAAGAUCAACACAUCGUAGCCCCACCUAGGCCUAAUAGAGAGGUCAGCACGCCGGUCUAAAUCCUAAGCGCAGGGGUCUGGGCCCAUCGCCCAUUGCACACCUACAUGUUGCGUGGGCGUCCGGAAACAUACCUAGCCUCCCUAAUACAAGAGCAGGCGUUCGAGUCCAAUCUGGCGCGCGUCGCUCAGUCGCUAACGUCACGAAGACUUCGGCUGAUACCACGACGUCGAGUGCCCAUAACUGUUCCCGCGUAGUUGGUUAGUGCGUAUAGGCUAAUGGCCAGACUCAGAUCAAAUACCAAGAUCUUGUUAAGCGUGUUAUUUGGAAGCAACCACGAACGCCGACCAGGGCCAGGCCCACCUCUCGCCUAGGUGGUCUCAACCUGCCCUGUCGCUCCGCCACAAAGAUCCACACAGAGGGCCGUCGAGAAAGUAUAUCCUUUCAGCCCCCAAUCCGUGAAUCAACCGCGGGUACUCAGCGAGCCGACCCGACUUUAGUCACCAUCUGCAUAGUAUAUAUGUAUGUAUGUAUAGUAUAUACCUGUGAUCACCUCCCGAGUGAUCACGGCCCAAUAGUAUAGCAAGGCAGACUGACAAGAAUGUAGGGCCACUGAUGAUAAACUAGCAUCCUAUACUAAGCAUUUAGGAUUGCGGGUAAGGUAUAUAUCAACAACUGUAGCAACAAUGACAGGCUAUGCAACUGAAUAGGAUUAACCGAAAGUAACAUGCUACACUACUCUAAUCCAAGCAGUAGAGAGAAGAAUAGGCGAUAUCUGGUGAUCAAGGGGGCGGGGGGCUUGCCUGGUUGCUCUGGCAAGAAGGAGGGGUCGUCAACUCCAUAGUCGAACUGGGCAGCAGCAUCGUCGAUCUCGUAGUCUACCUAAGAGAAGAGAGGGAAGAAACAAUAAAUACAAUGCAAACAUAAGCAUGACGGUGCAUGACAUGACAAUGAGCGAUGCUAGGUGUGCCCUAACGCGGUAGUAUGUGAUACCGGUGAAGGGGGAGGGACAUCCGGGAAUGUAUCCCCGGUGUUUCGCGUUUUCGGACAGAUGAACCGGAGGGGUAAAGUUGCGUGUUUGCUAUGCUAGGGAUGUGUGGCGGACGAAUGAGCUGCUUAUCCAGAUUCAUCUCGAAAUACGGAGCAACUUUCAUGUACAAAGUAUUUUCAUCCGAGCUAUGAUUUAUCUUCUAUUAAUUUUAAAGUUUUCAAUCAUUUUCUAAUUUAUUAUUAUUAAAUUAGAUCAAAUUCGUAUUAUUGCAUCAGCAUGACGUCAACAGUCAACAGAGGUGUUGACUGGUCAAACUGACGUGAGGGUCCCACAUGUUGUUGACUGAUUAAUUAGUGACUAGAUUAAUCUAAUUAUCAUUAAUAAAAUUAAUUAAUUCUUUCAUUAAUUAAUUAGUUAAUAUUUUUAUUAUUGUUAUUUUUAAUUCCUUUUUUUAAAACAUUCUGGGGCUGGGCCCUCCUGCCAUAGGCCAAGGGCCUUACCGGGCAUGCGGGCGCGGGCAUCGGCGCCUGGAGCAAACCUGAGCGGGCGCUAGGCAACGGGCACACAGCGGGGCGAGGCCAUGGCCGGCGGCGGAGGUGGCUGCGGCAGAGCUGCGCGACUGCGGGCACGGGAGUAGCGCACGGGGAGGGGGCUACGGGCGAGGCCAGGGUCGAGCGGGAGUGCGAUCAGAGCCGAGGGAAGCUCAGCAAGGGGUGAGCGGGGUAGCGCGGUGUGGUGGCGAUGCGGGGUCAGGGGCGCCGCGAGCCGGACGGGGUGAGCGGGCGAGAGCGCGGGCCCGCGCGAAUGACACCAGCAUGGAGACAGAGCUGCCCCCGUGGGCGAGGCGCGCACGGGAAGGGGUCGGGCGCAUCCGGGAUGCGGCGAGCGCGGCGGUCGAUGGCAGCAGGUGGAAGCAGCAGGCAAGGGCGGGGGGCCGCGGUGGCCGGUGGGUGUGGCCGCGUGCGCAAUGAUGCGGAGCAGCAGCAUCCGGUGCGGGAGUGAGGCGAGCGGCGGGAGUAUGAGCUCCAACGAGCUCGGGCGACAACGGGGAAGAGGGGCACGGGGCCGUGGUGAGUGCGAGGGGCAGAGAGGAAGAGAUGCGGGGCUCACUGGGGCCGUAGGGAAUGGACAGUGAGGCGCAGGGAGGAGGUCGGGACGACGUGCGACGGGGAGGCGUGGUCGAGGCGGCAUUCCGGGCGACGGCGAAGUGCAGCGACGGCAGGGUGGUCCGUCGAUGGGGAGGCCUUCGGGCGACGGUGGACGAGGCGUCGUGCCCCGAUCCAGAUCGGGCAGAGGGGGAGCGAGGAGCGAGGGGAGUGGGGGGUUUCAUCCCCAAUCCAGAUCGGAUCGGGAGGGGGAGAGAGAGUGGCGAUGUGGGAAGGGAGUUGGAGCGAGUGGGUUAGAGUUUCGGUCGGGGUUGACCAAGGUAUAUGCCAGGGAGGUGGCCGGUUGGGUGGGAUGGGCCUCGGCCCAUGGGGAGCCAGGGGCUUCUUUACUUUUGCUUUGUUUUCACCUUUUAUUUAUUUUACUUUUGCUUUGUUUUCUUUACUUUUGCUUUAUUUUAGUAAAAUAUACACUUUGUAUCUAAAUUAGUAUUUCAACGUAGUCCAUAGUCACAAAAGUCUAGUCCUCAAAUAAAUUAGCUUGACAUUUUAUUAAUUACAAAAGGUAUUUAAACAAUUGUUUUUGCUAAUGUUUAUUCAUCUUAUAGUAUUUAAACAUUAUAUAUAGGUGUGGUUUCUCCACCAUAGUUACCUGUGCAUUAUUUGGCUCACUCCGAACAUUUUAGUUUUAAUAUUUAAAAAUUUUUAUUGUUUGCUUGAUUUUGAAUUUGAAUUCGAAUCGGUUUCGAAAUAGCGCGAGAUUAGCAACAAUAAUCGAGGUGAUGUGCCAUCAUUAGUAGAGCAUUACUGUAGCUUAAUUAUCUGGGCGUCACACUCUGUUUACAACUGUUUACUUUCCCUGUAAGUUCAGGUUGCUGAACACAAAUCGCUAACAGGACAAGCCUGCCUAUCCAUGGUGGCCACUCCAUGUGCUGCUGGCCCAACACAAAUAGCUCAUAAUGUUUGCUGGCACAGAGCAAUCAAGAUUCCAACUCUGUGACAAGUAUCCUUCUUUAGCUAUUCUGCUUGUAACUGGAAAUCUAAACCAAUUUUACAAGUUUCAGCACGAGUACGCAGCGCACUGCAUCUGAAGAUCACUUGCUGAAUUCAACUCUUUUAGACAGUGUUUGGGGUCCAGACUACUCUUUUUUGAUUAUAUUAUGUCGCAUAAAUUUGUUAUAUUUCAAAACAUUAAAUUAUUUGAUAACCAUUCACGUAGCAACACGCGGAGUAUCAUCUAGUUUCCACUAUUUGUGCGUCCCAAUCUUAAUCAAGUUGGAGCUGCCUCCAGGCAGGACAAGCAGAGGUUAGCGCCUUAAUGCAUCAAUCAAGGAGGAAUCUUAUUUAGCAAGUUUUCUAACACAGAUGACAUAUGUUAUGCGAGUCUCUAUGCCUCAACAGCCGGCCCUUGGCAGACUUAUAUGGAGAAUGGUAUAUAUCAUAUGAUCGACACUAGUUGACCUCGAGAUUGCUUAGUGCAGAACGCAACGUUACUUGCUUCUUUGCUUGUGCCAACAAUAAUUGGUCUAAAAAACUAGAGUUCGGUGAAUUUCUCCUUCAACAGAUACAAGAGUGCCUGACCUCACAAUGAUUUCAUCUUCUGAUCUUCUCGUGUUUGGUCACUAUACUUUAGUUUACUGAUUUUAUCUAUCUAUCAUACCACGCCGGCUAACAACGCAAAUUUUCAUCCCGGCUUUGACCACCCCGCAGGGCUCUUUCCAUUUCCAGGCUGACAAGCAAGAAAUCCUCCUUGAUCACUUCCAGAACGCCUUUGGCUCGCACAAACCGGCCUCCUGCGCCUUCGACUGAUCAUCUAUGGGUAUCCCAAGUUCUGAUCUCUCUGGCCUGGACAUGCCAUUCACCGAGGAUGAGGUGAAAGUUGUUGUUUCUAACCUACCAGGAGGCAACGCCCCGGUCCUGACAGAUUCAUUGUUGAUUUCUUCAAGAACUGCUAGGACAUUGUCAAAGGAGAUCUCAUGAAGCCCUGCCUCCAGACAGGACAACACUACCAGAAAAUCGCUAGUUGCCGACAGCCACCCUCAGCAUUGAUGGAGGUAAGCCGUCGGCAAAUAAAAGCCAUCGGCUUACCUCAAUCUAUGCCGACGGUGGCCGUCGGCAGAGCUUUGGCCGUCAGCAAAUCGCUCACUGGCCGUCGAUAUAGCUGUAGCCGUCGGCAUACAAUGCCACGUGACCCUUGGACUAUCGGUCGGCUAACACCAUUGAGCUAUGACGACGGCCCUACCGUCGGCAAUAUUAUUUUAUUAUUAUUUUGAUUUCAUGUUUUUAAAAUUUCGAUUUUGAGUUAUGUAAAUUUAAAUAUAUACAAAUUAUAUAUCAAUUUGGGGUAGUAUUUUCCAUACAUUAUGAAUAUCCAUUUUGUUUCAAUUUUUUAAUACGAUAAAAAUGCGACAUAAUGUACUUUUGUAAAUAACUCCAUAUAGUUUGUUAAAAUCAAAAGUAAUUCAUACUUGCAUGGAUUUUGAAUUUUUUUAUAUGUUUUUGGAUCAGCAUCUUGUAGUGAUUCUGUUGCAAUAAUAAUUUUUCAAAUUUACAUUGACUACUAGACCAAACGGUUAGUGCUUACGCCGAAACGAGCAUACCGAGAGGCAAUCUUGGACAUGACCGAUGAUAGCCCAUGAUGGAAUCUUGCAAAACUCUUGUGUAUAAAAACGAUUUAUGAUGAAAUGACAACUUGUGUACCUAGAAAUGAUUUUUAGAAAAAAUAAAACUAUCAAGCACAUGUAGUUCAAAUUAACCCCGUUCCAACUUAAUCGAUGGAAAUUUGUCUUUUCGAGGAGAGGUGUAUAAAAAUGAUUGGACAUAUCAAUAUUUAGUCAAUUGUUAAUAAAGUAUGGUCUAGUAUUUUACAAAAAUGGAGUGAUUCAAAUUUACACCAAAUAGUUGGUAGCUUCUUAACAAAAAAACCCUACUUUCGACACUCAGAAACUGAAAAAUGGAUUUUUACGUGCAACGGAAAACUUUCUUCGGCAAACUUGUUGGCCAUCCCAAUAUGCACACUUUUACAAAACAUGAGAUCAAUUGGGGAAACUAUCCUUUGAAACUAGCAAUCACAUCGGUCAUUUGGUUUGAAAGCCAUGAAUCUUCAUACUCGAUAGCUCAUUUUGAAAAGAGUUUUUAAAGAUAUUUACCUUAUUCCAAUUUUGUUAUUUUAUAUGGUUACUCGGACAUAAAUAAUUAGGCAACACGGAGGUUUUACAUUUUUUUGAUUUUUUUUUUGAAUUGUUAAUAUCAAUUUCAAAAUGCGGUCAAAACGGGGGGCAUGGUUGGUGAUAGCUAGAGGUGGAAUCCUGUAAAACUCUUGGUGGAUCUAUGAUGAAAUGAGUACUUUUGUACCUUGAAAUGCUAUUUAGAAAAAAUAAAAAGCAAACUAUCAAGCACAUGUAGUUCUAAUUUGAGCUCGUUCCUACCAAAUCAAUGGAAAUUUCUCUUUUUGAGGAGAGGUCUAUAAAAAUCAUUUGACAUGCAAACAUUUGGUCAAUUGUUCAUAAAAUAUGAUCUAUUAACUUUGAAAAAAGGUAUGGUUCAAAUUCAUAUAAAUUUUGAUAGAUCCUUCGCAAAAAAAAACCUACAUUCGACACUCGGAAAAUGAAAACUGGAUUUUUCGUGAAACGUAAAUGAAAAAUUUCUUUGGCAAAUUUGUUGGCCAUUCCAAUAUGCACACUUCUGCAAAAUAUGUGAUCAUUUGGGAAAACUAUCGUUUGAAACUAGCAAUAACAUCGGUCAUUUGGAUUGAAAGCCAUGAAUCUUAAUACUCGAUAGCUCAUUUUGUGAAGACUUUUUUAAGAUAUUUUACUUAUUCAAAGUUUUUUAUUUUAUAUGGUUACUUGGACAUAAAUGAUGAUCAGCGCGAAGGUUUUACAUUUUUUUAUUAUUUUUGAAUUAUUUAUAUCGAUUCAAAAUGGAAUCAAAAUGGGGGGCAUGGUUGGUGAUAGCUAGGGGUGGAAUCUUGCAAAACUCUUGGUGGAUCUAUGAUCAAAUGACUACUUGUGUACCUAGAAAUGAGUUUUAGAAAAAAUAAAAAACAAAUAUCAAGCAUAUGUAGUUCAAAUUUGACCCCGCUCCUACUGAAUCGAUGGAAAUUUCUCUUUUUGAGGAGAGCUGUAUAAAAAUCAUAUGACAUGCAAACAUUUGGUCAAUUGUUCAUAAAAUAUGAUCUAGUAAUUUUGAAAAAUGGUAUGGUUCAAAUUCAUAUCAAAUUUUUGAUAGGUCCUUCACAAAAUAGCCCUACUUAUGGCACUCAAAAAAUUUUAAGAAAUGAUUUUUUGUGCAAAAAAAACUGAAAAAUUCCUUUGGAAAACUUUUUGGCCACUUCAAUAUGUACACAUUUGCAAAAAAAUUGUACAAAAAUGUCUGUUUCCUUUGUCUAAGUGUCAAUUUUUUUCAUUUCAAAAAAUUGGAAUGUAUUAAGAAAAUUGUGGUAUUUCCAGUUUACAUUUUUUGUGACAACUAUUACACAUAUAAUGCCUCUGUGUAAAAGUAUUUGAUUUUUUGAUUUUUUUUUCCAUUUUCUUUGUUUAUUUUUAAAGUGCCUAAAGAAGCACACAAUUGACAGUCUUCUCAUCGAUGGAAAUUUGUGCCUUGGAUCGAUGACAUGGCGCAGAUCCAUCCAUCCACAUCUNNNNNNNNNNNNNNNNNNNNNNNNNNNNNNNNNNNNNNNNNNNNNNNNNNNNNNNNNNNNNNNNNNNNNNNNNNNNNNNNNNNNNNNNNNNNNNNNNNNNNNNNNNNNNNNNNNNNNNNNNNNNNNNNNNNNNNNNNNNNNNNNNNNNNNNNNNNNNNNNNNNNNNNNNNNNNNNNNNNNNNNNNNNNNNNNNNNNNNNNNNNNNNNNNNNNNNNNNNNNNNNNNNNNNNNNNNNNNNNNNNNNNNNNNNNNNNNNNNNNNNNNNNNNNNNNNNNNNNNNNNNNNNNNNNNNNNNNNNNNNNNNNNNNNNNNNNNNNNNNNNNNNNNNNNNNNNNNNNNNNNNNNNNNNNNNNNNNNNNNNNNNNNNNAUCCUCCAUCCAUCCACAUGGCGCAAGUUUUCUGACAUGGAUGACAUAUUGUAUGCAAGUCCCUAGGCCUCAUUAGCCGGCUCUUGGCAGACCCAUGCGGAUAAUGUAUAUCAUAUGCUAGACACUAGUUGACCUCGAGAUCGGUUAGUGCAUGUUAGUUGCUUCUUUUCUUGUGCCAACAGUUAUUGAUCGAAAAACUGUGCUAUAAACAUGGUAACGUGGGGUGUGACAUGGUGUUUGUUGAAUUUCACCUUUAACUGAUGCAAGAGUGCCCGGCCUCACAAUGAUUUCACCCUUUGAUCUGUCCUUUUUGGUCACUCUACCUCAGUUUACUGAUUUUAUUUGUCUAUCAGACUAGUCCAUGGCAUUUUGAUUGGAAGCACCCACAUCUUUCAAUCCGCUAGCAAAAUUUGAUCGCGUGAGUCAAUUUGCUUGUAGGAUGUUGAAUUAAUUGUGAUGAAUUUCUUUGCUAACAACUUUUCCCCCAAAUCACUACUGAAAAAGCUCGUACACUGAGUACUUUGAUAUAUUGAAAGGAACAUCUUUUCUUGAAACCUUAUACGAAUAAAGAAAAAGAAACAUUUUUGCAACUAAAGUUAGCAGAAAAAGUACCGGUGCAUGCCUUGGCUUUGUGUGGGGCCACUUGCUCAGAGGUACAUCAAGGGCUAUAUAUACCCCAGACCGUCGGGAGCCAUAACAGCCAUGGAUCAUCUCCUCUUUUUCUCAUUCAAAUCAGUCAUGAAUUCAAAAUCCGCUUUCCUUCUGAUCGUGGUGGCAGUUAGCACCACGGCCAUGGUGCACGGCCACCCUGCCGCUAGCACUCCGGCGGCACGGUUCUGGGAGCAGGCCCUCUCCGGCACGCCGAUGCCGGAGGUGCUAGCUGAUUUUGUUCAGAAAGGUAAUCUUUGCUUACAUGUUUAAUUAUAUGUUUGGUAUAUAAAUACCAAAAAGGUUUUCCUUAUGUAUAAUUACUAGCAAAAAUACACGUAUGUUGUGACAGAAUUUAAAUCCUGGGACGUCUGUUCUAAUAUUAGGCUGCUCGGCUGUGAUGGCUUAACUUAUCUGCAGCUGCAGUAGCCAGGUAGCAGCAGCUACAGUACACAUUCAGUUCAAUAAUCCACAGCCCAAUAAGCCUAUUCAGUUCAAACGAUCUACCAAGCCAUGAUGUUCUGAGAUGAGAUUUCGUACUGUGAUUGAGCAUAUAACCAUCUAAUUUUUUUUCCUAAGAACACUCCAAAAAUUCAGUUUUAGCACAAGCUAAAAAAACCCAACAGGUCCGAUCAACAAACUUCCUCCUUAUAUUUCUGCGCUUUUGCACUCGUCGUUCAUUGAUGGGUCACUUGCGGCGGUGCGGGGAUAGAGGUUCAGGUACCUCUUUGUCCGCCAUGGACGACAGAGCGCCGUGCAUGACUUCCUGCUGCGCGCUCGAUCUAGCAGCGCGACUGGGAGAAGAGGCUGUGCUGUACGCGCGCUACUUCAGACAUCAUCAGAGUUACAAUAUGACUUGCUCCUUGCUGCAAAGCUGCCGCUCUUAAUUUUUUAAAGCUCGUGGUGCAAAUUUUGGUUUUCGUACAACUAAUCUUGGAAAUAUUGGAUGAUGGGUGGUGUUCUGCAUGCUCCCAAUUUUAAUUUUUUUUGGCAAGCUUCAGAAGCAGUUUCCUAGCACUCAUUUUUCAAGUUCGGUUGGAAAUGAUCUAACUCGUGUGAGCAUCGAUCGUGAGUAACGGGACAAUAAAUAAGUUAGAACUGUAAUCUCUAAUUUAUCAUGUACUUCUUCCUCUAUUCCAAACUGUAAGCAAGAAUCUUAGAGAGUCAAAGAAUUUUAAGUUUGACAAAAAUUAUAAAGAAAUCUACAAAUAUUUGUGACAUCAAAUUGGUAUAUUAUGAAAAUAUAAUUAAUGAAGAAUCUAAUAAUACUUAGUUGACAUCAUGAAUGUUAUUAUCUUGUCAUAUAAAUUUGGUCAAACUUGAGAAGCUUUGACUCUUCAAGAUUCUUGGAAUGACUUACAAUUACUACUCUUAGUAAACUGACUAGAACCCUUAUACGCUUAAUUAGAACUGUAAAAUUCAAUUCAUCAUGUACUACUACUCUUAGUAAAAUCGGCUAGAACUUCUAUACUAUGGAGAGUGAAGGGACACAUAGGAAGAGAGUCUAAUGGACCAAAAUUCAGAGGAAUAAAUGUUCACCCUUUUAUAUAAGGGAACGUAUCUGGUGCAAACCAACCUCUCCGUGCAACCGUGCAAACUUCUAAUCGGAGCUACAGGAUGUUGAUCCAAGGGGGCGCAUGGGGGAAUGGGAGGGCGGAUUCGCAAAAGCAUGAUUAGGGGCGGGCCGUUAAGUGUAAAAUUACCUAAUCCCCACGCCCCCUUGGAUCAACAUCCUAUGGCCCAGAUUAGAAGUUUGGACGGUUGCACGGAAAGGUUAGUUUUGUUGAUUUAAUAUUAUGUAUGUAUAUAUAGAGUAUGCAUGGAUAUAAACAUUGACUUUGUGUUCUCGUGCAGGAAUGGAUCUGUCACCGCUCGUGGAGCACUACUCUGCACAGCCUAGUAUCGGCAUGUGCACACUCUUCAACACUAUCUGCGACGCGCGCACGGUGGCGGAGACCGGCAUCUUCUUCCACGAGGCCGAGCUACAUCCGGGCAGCACCAUGACCCUGUAUUUCCCAGCGGAGGCGGAGACAGCCAUCCUCCCGCACGACAUCGCCGGCAAGGUCCCCUUCGAGAACCUAAGCGACGUCCUCUCCACGUUCCACAUCUCACCAGGCUCCGCUGAGGCUGCGCAAGUGGAGGACACCCUGCGCAAGUGUCAGCAGCCGCCAAUCGCCGGUGAGAUAAAAGCCUGCACCAUGUCGCUAGAGAGCACUGUAAAGGCCGCCAUGGAGAUGCUCGGCACCACCAUCCAGCAGGGUGGUGGUGGUGGUGACGUGUGGGCGGCCACGUCGACGCUCCCCCGCGGUGGCCUGCUACCACACCGGGAGUACAUUGUCCAGGAGGUCACCAAGCUAGAGGGCACUGGCUACGUGGCCUGCCACAAGGUGCCGUUCCCAUACGCCGUCUUCCAUUGUCACAUCGCACAUACGGGGUAUAUAGGUUACAAGGUCACCCUCCACGGCCGCGGCGACAACGAGGGCCCUGUGGUUUCCUUGCUGGCGUUCUGCCAUUUCGACACCUCCCACUGGAAUCCGGCACACCCGGCGUUCCAGAUACUGAAGACCCACCCUGGUGCCAGUACGUCGGUGUGCCACUUCAUGUCGUAUGGCAAUCUCGCGUUCAUCAAGAAGGCACGCACAGCCUAGCUUGCUACUGCAUCCUUCGUUGCGCGCUACAUACGCCAGUGUCGUGCUCUGGACAUCAACGUGGCGCUCUUUUUUCAUAUAUGCACCGUAAAUGUGUAAAUGUGGGCAUUCAUCCGUUCUAGCUAGGACGGCGUCUUCUAUAUAUAGAAUAAGAAUAAGAAUGGCACCAUAUAUAGUUCUAGCUUUGGCAUCAGACGAAAAUAUAAGGGUGUAGCAAUGGUACGGUGUGUGUCCAGGUUUGUUUGGAUGGAUGUUAUAUGUAAGUACAUGUCGCUAGUGUUGGUGAGUGGGGGCUCCGAUCCUACAUAUUGCUAGCUAGUGCUGGUACAUGUCAUUGUUACUACUGUAUGAAACUUGUGUGGUUGGUCCUGUGUGGCCUAGCUAGCGUCGGACAUACUGUAUUAUCGUGUUAUGUGUAUGAAUAAAUAUGUUUA